CAUCAACACAAGUCCAUCCAUUCGGUUACAACAUCAAUACCAAUACCUUUUUAUUAUUCUUUUGAAAACACUAUUAAGUAAAAUAAUCAAGGAAAAGAGAGCACCACUAAAAUCAGAGCCAAUACGUUCUUUUCAUACACCUUUGCCUACUGCACCACUUCCCGAUUGAUGCCAUUAACAUUAGACAGAACUCAUAUUAGAUGGCACAGAAUCAUAAACUAUACAAUUUGCUUGGUAUAAAAUCUCCUGUGCUAAUCGGUGAGCAACUCUAUUAGCACUACGAAGGAAAUCUGUUGGAAAGAAGACACAAGCUAAUGACAAUCAUCAAGUAUCAAACCAAUACCUUAGGGCUAAGUAACGUAUUCGAUUUCAAUGCAGUCAAAUUCCACAGCUAUAUUAUUGAAACAGCAAGUUUUAAGCCACGAACGGGCCUCGCGGAUACCCAACACUUUGGCGAUUGCUGCAUGACAUGCUGCCAUUACCUGCUUCGACAGCCCUUAAUGAACACCCAUGUGAAUCACGAAGCACAACCCCGAUGCUCAUCCUCUGAUCAAUGGUGCACCAUGUCGACUCCAACCAAGGGUCGACUCCAUGCAACAACAGUGAAACUAGGCCACAACACAACAACAGUAACAAACGUUGGUACACCGCUUGUGAAGCUGCCAAUCAUUGAUAAAAUGUGCGGCAACAAUGAUCUUUCGUAAUUUGAUAGGGAGACACCUAUGACCAAACCAUGAGGAAAAUUGCAUCUGAUGUGGGUGUCAUGACAUUAGCCCUCAAUCAACUCAGGGGAGCAAAACUUCAACCAAAAACCAACUUGGAGUAGUCUACCACGGAUGUCAAGGCACUAAGUGUGUUGUGUCACAACACUAAGCCUGAGGUCGCGGCUCUAAGCCUUCAAGGUCGCGGCUCCACUGCUGAUUGUUGAAGUGAAGAAUCCAGGGCCACUGUUUAGGGUGUCACGGUGCAAGAUAGACUAUGUCAUGAUAUCGAGAACCCCCAAAGCCAAGAUUGUAUCAUUGUCAAGGGUGUUGUGACAUUGAUGUUUAACAGGGUGAAAAAUACUACAAGAGCAAUUUUAUGUCCAACUCAAGUCAAUUCAUGCACUCCAAAGACACUUUUGUCAAAAUAUUAGAGUUUUAACUUGAUUGUAUUAAAGGCACACUUGAUGCCAAACAUAAAGGAGCCACAUUUAUCAUCUUUAUAGUUUUCCCUUUUAUUUUUCUUUCACCAUUUUUACUUUUUGAGUUCUUUCUUUUCUUACUUUAGUUAGUUGGUAGCUGAUAGUUUUUUUAGUUUUACUGUAACUUUAACUUUCUUGCAAUUAGAUACAAAAACUCAUUGUUAUUUUGAUUUCUCUUUAAAAA